GCGUUCUCCAUCGCGCAGGUCGCGAAAUAGGAGCCCCCCACCCGAACAGAUACCUAUUCCUCCACGAAUAAAAAAAAAAACUCGACGAAUAAAUCCCCACUGGUAUCCCCGUCACAGCCGGCGGCGGUGGCGGUGGGGCGAUUGGCGGAUCCGCCACCGCGACUCAGUCGUUCGGCGGCGGCGGCGCGAUUGCCAGAGGAGGUUCGGUUGGUUCCUCGAUCGGUUUCCAAGAAAGAAGAUGAGUGCGGCGGGUGUGAAUGGAUCCGACAACAAAAGAAGCAGGUCCAGCCGAGACGAUCCCUUGGCCUUGCCGGAGAAGAAGAAGAAGGUGAUUGUGUGGAGAGAUCCAGACGCGUGGGUUAUCAGCGAUGCCGACCUGGCCAAGAUGAAACGGGACGAGGAAUCAGCUCCCCCGCCUGUGAAAAUCCCUACGCUCGAUUACUUCAAACCCCCGACCAGGUUUCACACCGCCGAGCUCUUCCCCGUCAGUGAAUCUGGAAGCAAGGCGGUGCUCUCUGCUGCCAAAUUCCUUCUAGGGGUUUCAUCCUCUCUUGAUGGUGAACCGCUGAGACGCUGCUCCGGCUUCUUGGUUGAUUGGGAUGAGGAGAAGAAAGCCGGCCUUGUUUUGACAACUGCGCGUCUGAUUCGCACAAAGGAUUCUCCUGACAGCGGCUGGUCAGGUGGCGAAGAGUAUGCUCCUCGUGCUGAU
rnacentral:rRNA from 1 species